AUGAGAAGAGGGAAUACCUUACUUCGGAGGCCACCCAAUGGCCUCAUACAGGUUACACCAAAUCCUCGGUGUCCACUUCUCCAUCUUUCGAAGGAAGAAAGCGUAAUCAUCAUUCUUCUCCUGCAUUUGAAGUGUUAUAAGGUAGUCAUAAGGAUCCAAAAUGUUGUACUUUAUGUCCAAUCUGGUCACUUGAUCAGUUAUCAAGUUGUUGAGGAAGUCACUGUAGUCAGGCCAUGUAAAACCAAUGAGUUGCAGCUUGGAUCUGACAUAUUUAGAAUCAGACGCCACAAGUGCCUUCAAGUAACAGGCCUUUUUGUCAUCAUUCCAUUCAUCCGGGUACAUGCAGUGGCAGUAAACAGAAUGGGAUUAAGUGCCAAACAAAAAAAAAGAUGGUAAUCAACUUACAUAAUGAUUUGGCGGAAUGUUGUUGAAGGGCGACUGCUGAUAUGUGAAGACUCAAUGAUUCCCUG